AGAGUGGACUUGACUGCCAAGAAGGUCCGCGCCUCUGGCCCCUUACGGCCAGUCCUAGUGUCAGAAAGCAAGGAGGCAGACUGAGCUCUCAGACCUGGCACAGUUUUAUGGGCAGGGUGAAUACCAGCAGCUAAAGCAGAACUUGGACUGACUUGAAGUGGAGAAAGGAGCUGUGAAACUCAAAGUGACACUCCAAAGCAAAUCCUAAUUGGGCAUGUACGUGACAUUCAUCACACAGCGAUGCAGAUGCAGUAUCUGGGUCUCUGAAACAUGUGACUCCUGUGAACACUGUACGGAUUCUCAAGGCUACGCGAGGCUUUGCUGCCUUCAGUGCACUCUGAAGACAUUGCUGCUCAAGACAUUGCUUCUCUGCUGCCUUCUUUGGCAACAGAAACAGGAAUCGCUCUUCAAAUUAACAGCUAGCUCUUCAUACCACCGUGUUUUUGGGCAACGAUUUUGGUUGCCAGAGACAGACCCAAAUGUUCCUAUUUCUCUCUCACUCUUGGAUCCAAGAGAGUUUCUCCACUUAGAUCAUGUUAGCCAAAAUUCUGUGAGUACCCAGUUCCUCUUGAUUUCAUGGGAAAUAAGGACCUUGUCUCCUCUCAGAUAUGGAUUAUAUGAAGUAAGUAGUGGCUUUCAGCUCAGCAUAUAACAGCAUUUCAGGUCUGCUGAUCCUACUCAAUUGACAAGGAUGGUGAUUUUUUUCAAGUUGUGAUGCAUAUUGGAGAUAAUGGUGGCAUUCUUUUAAAAAUUAUUCAUCUACCAUAAAUGCUUGAAAGCAUUCCACUUUUAUUUCUGUCUUCUCAGGAGGAAGAGCUGGAUCUCUUUUAUCUGACCAUUGAAAUACAUUUUCCACAGAUUUUUUUAUAUUGAACGUGGAACCAACAAAUGCUGCAUUGCUUUUCCAGCUGGGCUAUUUAUAAUAGUUCUCAGUAACUUUUCAAUGUGACAUUUCAAUUCAGUACUUAUACUUUUUGGAAAGCAGAAGCAGAUUUUUCGGGGAGUGGAGUGCUGUGUGUUAAAAGAGCUUGGAAGACACUUUUUUCUACUAAGGAGGAACAUGUGGCACAAAACUGCUUGGCAUCUUUUUAGAAACAUGAUGAAGAUAGUUUUGCUUCUUUUUUCCAUCAGUUUUAGGAAGAACUUUCGAUUUUCUUUGAUACUACCUCUGCAGCAACUUCCCACUGCUCUGCUCCUAGUUUUCAACGUUACAUACUCUUGUCACAAGGCAUUGUAGCUACUAGUGACUGAUGUCUGAAUGCUUAACAAUUUUCAGAAUUAACCCUCGCUAAUUUUCCCCAAAGAUUGCUCUCUUUCAUUCAUAACAUGUUUUUACCUGCAUCUUGGGUGGAACAGGAGGAGGAAGAAUGCGAAUGUAGCUGUGUAUACCAACUCCAGUGCAUGAGGCAGAGAGCAGAAAUGCAUAAUGUAUCUGUGUCUUUGGAUUUGGCUGAAUGGAGACUAUCACCCAAAUUAUUUUAAAAAGAGUUACUGCUAUGCCAUAUGUAGGUUUAGAAGUAACCAGUCUUUGACCAGAUACAUUUCUGACUUUGGAAUCUGGUGUUUUCAACUGCAAUCAUUUUUCUCUUACUUGUGGCAGAAGUCAAGGAAUGAUAUCAAGGCAAUUUGUCUGUUUUUUAUUUCUCAUGUUUCAUUAGCUGUUGAAAAGCAGUGAGAUCUGGCAUCCCAGUAGACAGUGCUCAGGAACAGACCUCCAGAUGUGGGGGAAGCAGUAGGUUUGGGGGAUUUUUCAUUAUUUUACCUUUUAGUUUAGUUCUUUCAAACGAUAUUUUACUGAAGAAGUUAGAUAUGCACUUGAGAGGCAUGUACCUAUCUCUGGAACACAGGAACACAGGGCUAAUAAUUGUCUCCAUAAUCCUGAAAGACUGUGAGAUUUAAGCGGUCUGUAGAGCCUUUAAGAUACCUGGAGAAAAGACCCUAGAAAGGGCAGUAUACUUUUGGCCAUGGCAGUAGAACAAGAGUGGCAAUGGUUGCUUCAGUUUGUCUGCAACAGUGAUUUUUUAGAAAUGCUUCUUUGUUUGAGCUUUCAAAAUCAUCACUGCUGUGGGAUACAUCAUCCAGAUCUGAUCUUUGUUGGAAUGUGACAUUUGUCCUGCAUAUUGGAGAAGCAGUAUACUAUAUAUUUUUGAGAGUGACAUUUCUUUCUAUUAUUUUAUCCUUUGAAUAUCUAGCCUUUCAUAGAUUAAUUUUAAUCUCAUAAAAGCAGAGUGAUCCACUGCCCGCAAGCUGGGCCUGGGAAUCGGCAGAUAGGUUAGACGUUAGGUAUGCUGUUCUCCAAGGCAUAACAGUUUUAUUAAUUCAUUCUGCUGUGACACAGUUGAUCCAGACCUGGAGUCAUGUGACUCCAGAACACCCCAUUGUGGAAAGCACACUGAAUAUUCCUUCCCUUACCAGUGUUUUUGUUUGUUUGUUUUUGUUAGUUUGUUUAUUUUUCCUCUGUAAAAGAAAGGGGAAAAAAAGAAAACUAAUUUUUUUUUAAAAAGUCUCAUUUUCCUUCAUGUUUCUUGGGACUUCCUUGUAAAUCUCUAUCAUUCAGCAUCUUUGGUAAUCUCAUUUCAAAUCAUGGAAUAGAUUAAGAAUAAUACGGAGUAUAUUUCCAAAUAUCCUUUUUUUUGUGCAUGUGAGGAAUAUAUCAAAUAUAGUGGUCUCUGACAUGUGGUUUUAUUUGUAGUCCAUUCAUUCAUUUCAUUUUGUGUGUGUGUGCUUACCAACAGAGUAAUGAGCUUUUUCCUGUAUCCACUGGCAUAUUAGGAAUUUUGCCUUCUAAGAAUUGUGGAGAUGAGUAAUUUGGCUUAUCAGAUAACAGGGAAAUGUUCUUCAUAGGCAAAGAGAUGCUAAGUGUUUUAUGGCUGUAACGCACAUCAUCCAGAUAUGUAAGAGAAAAAAAAAGGCUUUGCACUUCAUUGACGUUUGUAGUUCAUGUUGUAACUUCAGAGACAUCUGACCUUUUUAACAAUCACCUGGACGUGAUCCUGCGCAAUGUGCUCUAGAGGACCCUG